rnacentral:rRNA from 1 species
UACGGGGGGAGCAAGCGUUGUUCGGAUUUACUGGGCGUAAAGGGCGCGUAGGCGGUCAGCACAAGUCAGUUGUGAAAUCUCCGAGCUUAACUCGGAAAGGUCAACUGAUACUGUGCGACUAGAGUGCGGAAGGGGCAACUGGAAUUCUUGGUGUAGCGGUGAAAUGCGUAGAUAUCAGGAAGAACACCCGUGGCGAAGGCGGGUCUCUGGGCCGAUACUGACGCUGAGGAGCGAAAGCGUGGGGAGCGAACAGG